GGCAGUCAGAGGCGAUGAAGGACGUGCUAAUCUGCGAUAAGCGCCGGUAAGGUGAUAUGAACCGUUAUAACCGGCGAUUUCCGAAUGGGGAAACCCAGUGUGAUUCGUCACACUAUCAUUAACUGAAUCCAUAGGUUAAUGAGGCGAACCGGGGGAACUGAAACAUCUAAGUACCCCGAGGAAAAGAAAUCAACCGAGAUUCCCCCAGUAGCGGCGAGCGAACGGGGAGGAGCCCAGAGCCUGAAUCAGCAUGUGUGUUAGUGGAAGCGUCUGGAAAGGCGCGCGAUACAGGGUGACAGCCCCGUACACAAAAGCGCAUGUGCUGUGAGCUCGAUGAGUAGGGCGGGACACGUGGUAUCCUGUCUGAAUAUGGGGGGACCAUCCUCCAAGGCUAAAUACUCCUGACUGACCGAUAGUGAACCAGUACCGUGAGGGAAAGGCGAAAAGAACCCCGGCGAGGGGAGUGAAAAAGAACCUGAAACCGU
rnacentral:rRNA from 1 species